CCAACGACCUUGGCCUUGCCCGAAUAAGACGCGGCCUUGAGGAGCGAUCGAUGCGACCGGCAGCCGGUGCAACGGUGGAACUGGAUCCAAACUGGUUCUCACGUGCUCUCUUGGUUUAGACGCAUCGCGUGCAUCGACUGCGCCUGCCUUUUACUCUUCUCUCUCUCUCUCUCUCUCUCUCUCUGUCUUUCUCUCUGUCUUUCUCUGUCUUUCUCUCUGUCUUUCUCUUUGUCUUUCUCUUCAUUUCGUCUCGUUCUUUAUUCUCGCUCGUUGAACUGACGAACCCUCUUACGGUGCAUCGUACGUGUACGAGAAGCAAACGACGCCAUUAUCUCGUGAAAAGCAUACCGCUCUCGUGUAGUUACGACAUCGUUCCGAUUCUUCGAAAGUUUCUCACGCCAGUUCGUACAUUCUUGCGAUUCAACGCUAUCUCCAAUCAACAUAGAUUAGACAAAAGGUGACGAUGGAAGAGAGAACCUAGCGGAUAAUCUAAGAGAGAAGGAAAAAAAAAAAUAAAAGAAGGACGGAAGAAAGGAAGGAAAAAAAUGGUUCCUUU